GACCAAUCCAUGUGCCUUUUUUUGAAACAUUCUCUCCGGACAAUGAUGGAGACAGAUUUUAAUGCUUGUUUUCCUCUCUCUAUGGACUUCGAGUUUGGCUUUCUUGUCACAUUC
rfam:Brassica napus, WGS project CCCW01000000 data, contig: 16787